CCCUGCAGGAUCAGGCUGAAGCUCCUCUUUGUGUAAGAUCAUGUCCUUGCUUGGAUUCUUCCCUUUCCCUUACUUUCCCCAUUCCCUUACCAGCCUCCCUUGGGAGCAUUCCCUAAUAAGUCACAUGCACACAAAUCCUCAUCUAGGGUCUGCUUCUGGGGAAUCCAACCUAAGGUCCUUCCUGAGAAUGUAUUUGCUAUAGUGGUAGUGGUGUGUGUGUGUAUGUGUGUGUCCUUGCACUCUUCACGAUAAGCUACAAUUUCAUCAGCUUCUUCUUCAGGAAUAGCACCUGAGUCAUUUGUUCAGUUUUUCUUUUAAAUUCAUUAUUUUUGGUGUCAAGUUUCCUGAGGGGAGGGCUGAAGGGCUACAUACGAUCUUCAUAAUUGGCUGCAGUACAAUCAAGAAGUUGGUGACAGUAUGGGGCCCUCCAGUCCUCCUUUAUUCCUUUGUAAAAUGGGGAUAAUGCAGGGUGCUCUCAUGUGGAGCUAAGGAAACAAUAUGUGAAAGCCC
rnacentral:lncRNA from 1 species